rnacentral:misc_RNA from 1 species
GUUGGCGUGUAUUGGCAUGUUGGAUCCCUGCUUGGGCAGCGACGACAUACCAUGCAAGCCUUUUCAUUCCUCGGCUCAAGUGCUUGYUUGCCUUGGCCGGCGUCCCUUUUUCUUGUGCUGAAUACCCACAACGGGGGCACAAGGUUGGCUAAAACGUCCCACUUCCGCCUCGUGCUGYGCCCCUUGGGGCCGCGGCGCGGGGUGGACCUCAAAGCAUUCUCCGUGCGCCACGUCCCGCGCAAGUGCCUCMGCACGUGCUCGGGUUGUUGGCUCAUGGAGUCUUGCUCGAUCUCUCGGAUGCGGAACAGUGAGUGGGUACGAGGCCCCCGGCCUCUAUUUGCCCCGAAAACAAGCGUUCGGCGCUUCRUGCGAACGACUGUCGUUUUCGUUUUGACCGGGUCCUCGUGGCUCGGCUCAUGCGAAACCGGCGUCGAUGAGGAAUGCUAC